CCUACGGGAGGCAGCAGUGGGGGAUAUUGCACAAUGGGGGAAACCCUGAUGCAGCGACGCCGCGUGGGCGAAGAAGUAUUUCGGUAUGUAAAGCCCUAUCAGCAGGGAAGAAGAAAUGACGGUACCUGAGUAAGAAGCACCGGCUAAAUACGUGCCAGCAGCCGCGGUAAUACGUAUGGUGCAAGCGUUAUCCGGAUUUACUGGGUGUAAGGGGAGCGCAGGCGGCACGGCAAGCCUGAUGUGAAAGCCCGCGGCCCAACCGCGGGACUGCAUUGGGAACUACCGGGCUGGAGUGCCGGAGAGGUAGGCGGAAUUCCUAGUGUAGCGGUGAAAUGCGUAGAUAUUAGGAGGAACACCAGUGGCGAAGGCGGCCUGCUGGACGGUGACUGACGCUGAGGCUCGAAAGCGUGGGGAGCAAACAGGAUUAGAUACCCUUGUAGUC
rnacentral:rRNA from 1 species